rnacentral:lncRNA from 1 species
AGCAUCUCUUGUUUCCACCAUUUAUAAUGCUCAUUAACUGUCUCUCCUUCAAUGGAAUAAUAAGAUAGGCUGUUUUCUUCCUUUUGUUUUCUUUUGCUGAUUUUCCAUCAUUUAGCACAACCAUGAAGCAAUUGCUUUUAAACUUUCCAAGGGGGAGCUUGUCUAUUUAAAAAACUGAUCAUUUGGGGGUUUUAUUUUGGACUACUUUGUUUUUAACUUUUACAAAAACAAUCUCCUUUCUCAUUGCCGUUCCCCAAAUCUUUCUGCUCAUUGCUCACUUACAUAAAACAGCAGUCUCUUUAGUGGCUCAGAAUUCUGAAUUGCCACUGUAGAUCGAGUCCUGUAGUGAUCCACAUAUCAUGGGUUGUGGUCAUAUCCCACUAAAAUUACUGCAGGCCCUUCCAAAUAGAGGGGUCUGCCAGCACAACAGAAUGAGAUGGUGCCAAGAGACUAUCUUUUCUUUCCUCUAGCCCGCACUAAAAGUGUAUCAGCAUAGUAAGCAUGCUGAAUACAUGUAUCAGAAGAAGAGCAGCUCUUAGCUUGUGAGUUACUACAGCCAUCAGCUGGCAAAGGAAAUGACAUGCUCCUUUGGAACUGUUGGCCUCUUACGCUCCUUUAACUGAGCUUCCAGAAGCUUAAAGAGAAGAGCAGGCAGAUGUUGACUUGAUCAUCUCAGCCUGAACGUGAUGUUAAAACAUCUGCCCUUGGAUAAAGCAGAGGGAACAGAGACAGAUGGAGGAUCAGCUAAAAGAACUGCAAAACCAGGGGCUGUUGCACUCCGGGAGCACAGACGGGGCCUGCCGGCCGCAGCGAUACACAGAGAUCAGUCACGUCACGUUGGAAGAGGCAGGAAA